UGCUUAGUUACCCGUGGCGUGUGGGAUCUUACUUUCUCGACCAGGGAAACCAUCUCCUGCGCACUGGAAGGUUGGACUCUUAACCCCUGAGUCACCAGAAAAGUCCCGGUGUUUGAGAUUCUAAACUGUGCGUGCUGAAUUUUAGUUCAGCCUGGUUGCCAAGGGGGCCUCUCCAUCAUAAAUCUGGAAACCCUCUAUCGUUAAGGAUUAUUUCUUGGAUUUCCUGAAAGUAAAAGAAAAAAUGGGAAAGAAGAGUGAGCUGGAACACACCACUUGUAACAAUAGCCAACAAAUUGGAUAUCUUCUCCUGGUCUUGCUGGCCUCUUCAAAAGAUGUUAAGCGCCCACAGGAAUGAUGUCCAGGUUUUGUGUCUCUCAAACACCCACCUUCGACAAGGAGCCGUCAUCACUUCUGCUCUACAGAAGACAACACAGAUGCAUAGGGAGGUUAAAGAACAAAGUCACAAACCUGAUAAACGGUGGAGCUUGGAAUCAACCAAACCACAUGGCUCUAGACCCUGUCCUCUUUGCACCAUUCUCUCUUUCAUCCACCCAUAAUAUAGCACAUUGCUAGGUUUCUCCAUUCUAGAGUCGAGAAGAGUGCCUCACAGUACUUUCUGAAAUGUUCCAGUCACCGGACAGAAUUGGAAUUCUACAUACAAACUGCUCUCCGGACGGCCGUGCAGUAAAAGAAGUAGACCAGUGCUCAGCUGGUUCAUUAGAGCCUCAGUCAUUGAACCUUCUCUGUUUUUUCAUUGACUUCAGCCUAGACUAGACAAGGCUCCCAGGAAGCAUGCUAAAGCUCCCAGAACUGUGAUCGAUGGCCCGGAAGGGUGUACAGAGGGAACAUUAUAGAAAUGUCUGAGGGGAACGGAGGCUCAGAAAAGUGCUGGGAUGUGGGCAGGAAAUAAUGUGAAAGAAAUAAUCAUGGGUGGAGUGUAAAAACCCUGUGGCUGAAAACUCCAAAAUGAUGAAGUCACACAUUUAUUUUUGCCCGUCUUUCCUCCCAAUGAUUGCAGAGCUACCAUUAUAUGAGGAUUGAGCCAACAUAGUCAGUUUCAUUACUUAUUAUCAUGGUCUGUGUUGAAAUAGAGCAGGGAGCUUGGGCCAGUUACUCGUGGUCAAAGUGGUCCCAAGCUGAAAGGAAAGAGGGCAGUCAGUUGCACUGAACCCCACUCACCUUCAUCUGGAAGAGAGUACUAUUUAGAGGCGGGACUGGUAGGAAGGUUACAUCAAACAUGGAAGGGCUUUGUAUGAAGUUUUCAUUCCAGUUUGCUGUGAGGCUCCAUGGAUAGACAAUAAAAAUAUAA